rnacentral:rRNA from 1 species
UGAGUAACCUGCCCUUAACUCUGGGAUAAGCCUGGGAAACUGGGUCUAAUACCGGAUAUGACUCCUCAUCGCAUGGUGGGGGGUGGAAAGCUUUAUUGUGGUUUUGGAUGGACUCGCGGCCUAUCAGCUUGUUGGUGGGGUAAUGGCCUACCAAGGCGUCGACGGGUAGCCGGCCUGAGAGGGUGUCCGGCCACACUGGGACUGAGACACGGCCCAGACUCCUACGGGAGGCAG